AUUGAACGCUGGCGGCAUGCUUUACACAUGCAAGUCGAACGGUAGAGGGGGCAACCCCUUGAGAGUGGCGAACGGGUGAGUAAUGCAUCGGAACGUGCCCAGUCGUGGGGGAUAACGCAGCGAAAGAUGUGCUAAUACCGCAUACGAUCUCUGGAUGAAAGCGGGGGACCGAAAGGCCUAGCGCGAUUGGAGCUGCCGAUGUCAGAUUCGGUAGUUGGGGGGGUAAAGGCUCACCAAGACAACGAGCUGUAGCUGGUCUGAGAGGACGCCCAGCCACACUGGGACUGAGACACGGCCCAGACUCAUACGGGAGGCAGCAGUGGGGAAUUUUGGACAAUGGGCGAAAGCCUGAUCCAGCAAUGCCGCGUGUAGGAAGAAGGCCUUCGGGUUGUAAAGUGCUUUUGUACGGAACGAAAAGGUCUGGGUUAAGACCCUGGGCACAUGACGGUACCGUAAGAAUAAGCACCGGCUAACUACGUGCCAGCCGCCGCCGUAA
rnacentral:rRNA from 1 species